UACGUAGGGUGCAAGCGUUGUCCGGAAUUAUUGGGCGUAAAGAGCUCGUAGGCGGCCUGUCGCGUCGGCUGUGAAAACUCGGGGCUUAACCCCGGGCCUGCAGUGGGUACGGGCAGACUAGAGUGCGGUAGGGGAGACUGGAAUUCCUGGUGUAGCGGUGAAAUGCGCAGAUAUCAGGAGGAACACCGGUGGCGAAGGCGGGUCUCUGGGCCGUAACUGACGCUGAGGAGCGAAAGCGUGGGGAGCGAACAGG
rnacentral:rRNA from 1 species